CCUACGGGAGGCAGCAGUGAGGAAUAUUGGUCAAUGGGCGGAAGCCUGACCCAGCAACGCCGCGUGAAGGAAGAAGGCUUUCGGGUUGUAAACUUCUUUUAAGAGGGAAGAGCAGAAGACGGUACCUCUUGAAUAAGACAUGGCUAACUACGUGCCAGCAGCCGAGGUAAUACGGAGGUGGCAAGCGUUAGGCGGAUUUACUGGGUGGAAAGGGCGUGUAGCCGGGAUGACAAGUCAGAUGUGAAAUCCCGUGGCUCAACCACGGAACUGCAUUUGAAACUGGCGGUCUUGAGUAUCGGAGAGGCAGGCGGAAUUCCUAGUGUAGCGGUGAAAUGCGUAGAUAUUAGGAGGAACACCAGUGGCGAAGGCGGCCUGCUGGACGACAACUGACGGUGAGGCGCGAAAGCGUGGGGAGCAAACAGGAUUAGAUACCCGUGUAGUC
rnacentral:rRNA from 1 species